GAGCGGGUUUCGGCGAUAGCUGGUCGGCCUUCUAAGCCGACGGUUUCGGGUUCGAAUCCCGACGGGCUCA
rnacentral:tRNA from 1 species